GUGGGGAAUAUUGGACAAUGGGCGAAAGCCUGAUCCAGCCAUGCCGCGUGUGUGAAGAAGGUCUUCGGAUUGUAAAGCACUUUAAGUUGGGAGGAAGGGCAGUAAGUUAAUACCUUGCUGUUUUGACGUUACCGACAGAAUAAGCACCGGCUAACUUCGUGCCAGCAGCCGCGGUAAUACGAAGGGUGCAAGCGUUAAUCGGAAUUACUGGGCGUAAAGCGCGCGUAGGUGGUUUUGUAAGUUGGAGGUGAAAUCCCCGGGCUCAACCUGGGAACUGCCUCGAAAACUGCAUGACUAGAGUACGGUAGAGGGUAGUGGAAUUUCCUGUGUAGCGGUGAAAUGCGUAGAUAUAGGAAGGAACACCAGUGGCGAAGGCGACUACCUGGACUGAUACUGACACUGAGGUGCGAAAGCGUGGGGAGCAAACAGGAUUAGAAACCCGAGUAGUCC
rnacentral:rRNA from 1 species